rnacentral:rRNA from 1 species
CCUACGGGAGGCUGCAGUGGGGAAUAUUGGACAAUGGGGGAAACCCUGAUCCAGCGACGCCGCGUGAGUGAAGAAGUAUUUCGGUACGUAAAGCUCUAUCAGCAGGAAAGAAAAUGACGGUACCUGACUAAGAAGCCCCGGCUAACUACGUGCCAGCAGCCGCGGUAAUAUGUAGGGGGCAAGCGUUAUCCGGAUUUACUGGGUGGAAAGGGAGCGUAGACGGCAGCGCAAGUCUGGAGUGAAAUGCCGGGGCCCAACCCCGGAACUGCUCUGGAAACUGUGAAGCUGGAGUGCAGGAGAGGUAAGCGGAAUUCCUGGUGUAGCGGUGAAAUGCGUAGAUAUCAGGAGGAACACCGGCGGCGAAGGCGGCUUACUGGACUGUAACUGACGUUGAGGCUCGAAGGCGUGGGGAGCAAACAGGAUUAGAUACCCCUGUAGUC